AGUGAACGCUGGCGGUAGGCCUAACACAUGCAAGUCGAACGGCAGCACAGUAAGAGCUUGCCCUUACGGGUGGCGAGUGGCGGACGGGUGAGGAAUACAUCGGAAUCUACUUUUUCGUGGGGGAUAACGUAGGGAAACUUACGCUAAUACCGCAUACGACCUACGGGUGAAAGCAGGGGAUCUUCGGACCUUGCGCGAUUGAAUGAGCCGAUGUCGGAUUAGCUAGUUGGCGGGGUAAAGGCCCACCAAGGCGACGAUCCGUAGCUGGUCUGAGAGGAUGAUCAGCCACACUGGAACUGGGACACGGUCCAGACUCCUACGGGAGGCAGCAGUGGGGAAUAUUGGACAAUGGGCGCAAGCCUGAUCCAGCCAUACCGCGUGGGUGAAGAAGGCCUUCGGGUUGCAAAGCCCUUUUGUUGGGAAAGAAAAGCAGCAGGUUAAUACCCCGCUGUUCUGACGGUACCCAAAGAAUAAGCACCGGCUAACUUCGUG
rnacentral:rRNA from 1 species